rnacentral:siRNA from 1 species
CACAAACUCAGGCUGCGAACCCA